GACGAACGCUGGCGGCGUGCUUAACACAUGCAAGUCGAACGGUGAAGCGCCUUCCUUUUUGGUGGGUGUGGAUGAGUGGCGAACGGGUGAGUAACACGUGAGUAACCUGCCCCCUUCUUCUGGAUAACCGCAUGAAAGUGUGGCUAAUACGGGAUAUUCUGGGUCUGUCGCAUGAUGGGUCUGGGAAAGAUAUUGUUUCGGUGGGGGAUGGGCUCGCGGCCUAUCAGCUUGUUGGUGGGGUGAUGGCCUACCAAGGCGGUGACGGGUAGCCGGCCUGAGAGGGUGGACGGUCACACUGGGACUGAGACACGGCCCAGACUCCUACGGGAGGCAGCAGGGGGGAAUAUUGCACAAUGGGCGCAAGCCUGAUGCAGCGACGCCGCGUGAGGGAUGGAGGCCUUCGGGUUGUGGACCUCUUUCGCCAGUGAAGCAGGCCUGCCUCGUUUGUGGGUGGGUUGACGGUAGCUGGAUAAGAAGCGCCGGCUAACUACGUG
rnacentral:rRNA from 1 species